GCCCUGUUGGCACAAUUGGCUAGCGCGUGAGACUUUUAAUCUCAAGGCUGUGGGUUCGAGUCCCACACAGGGCG
rfam:Pyrenochaeta sp. DS3sAY3a unplaced genomic scaffold IQ07scaffold_10, whole genome shotgun sequence.